rnacentral:rRNA from 1 species
GAUGAACGCUGGCGGCGUGCCUAAUACAUGCAAGUCGAGCGAACAGACGAGGAGCUUGCUCCUCUGACGUUAGCGGCGGACGGGUGAGUAACACGUGGAUAACCUACCUAUAAGACUGGGAUAACUUCGGGAAACCGGAGCUAAUACCGGAUAAUAUAUUGAACCGCAUGGUUCAAUAGUGAAAGACGGUUUUGCUGUCACUUAUAGAUGGAUCCGCGCCGCAUUAGCUAGUUGGUAAGGUAACGGCUUACCAAGGCAACGAUGCGUAGCCGACCUGAGAGGGUGAUCGGACACACUGGAACUGAGACACGGACCAGACUCCUACGGGAGGCAGCAGUAGGGAAUAUUCCGCAAUGGGCGAAAGCUUGACGGAGCAACGCCGCGUGAGUGAUGAAGGUCUUCGGAUCGUAAAACUCUGUUAUUAGGGAAGAACAAAUGUGUAAGUAACUAUGCACGUAUUGACGGUACCUAAUCAGAAAGCCACGGCUAACUACGUG